GAUGAACGCUAGCGGCAGGCCUAAUACAUGCAAGUCGAACGAGAUCAGUUCUUUCGGGAACUGGUUUAGUGGCGCACGGGUGCGUAACGCGUAUGCAACCUACCUUCCACAGGGGGAUAGCCUUCCGAAAGGGAGAUUAAUACCGCAUAACACCUUUUCCUGGCAUCAGGAGAUGGUCAAAGAUUUAUCGGUGGAAGACGGGCAUGCGUGCCAUUAGUUAGUUGGUAGGGUAACGGCCUACCAAGACUUCGAUGGCUAGGGGUUCUGAGAGGAUGGUCCCCCACACUGGUACUGAGACACGGACCAGACUCCUACGGGAGGCAGCAGUAGGGAAUAUUGGGCAAUGGCCGAGAGGCUGACCCAGCCAUGCCGCGUGCAGGAAGAAGGCCUUCUGGGUUGUAAACUGCUUUUUAUCUGGGAAGAAAACGCCCCUGCGGGGGUAACUGACGGUACCAGAUGAAUAAGCACCGGCUAACUCCGUGCCAGCAGCCGCGGUAAUACGGAGGGUGC
rnacentral:rRNA from 1 species